GCACCCGGCCCCAUCAUCAUUAUGCCCCAAAUGACUCCUCUUCCCCAUUUUCCCCAUCUAUAAAGCACUGUGACAUCAUCAUCACCACCACCACCAUCAACCACACGCAUCAGCUGAGUGCCUAUGGUGGUAGGCCUCAGAGCUGGUUGUCAAUAAAACACACUCAGGCUUUAGGCUCUGCCUUCAAGGAGCCUAAAAUUAACCUGUGAAGAGGAAGAGGAAAAGAAGAAGGAGGAGGACAAGAAUGAGGCUGAAAAAAUAUUACAUAAGAAGCUCUCACCAAGACACCAAGGUAAAAUAUAUAUGACAAGCCAAAGACAGGUGCCAUAAAAAAAUAAGAAAUCUUCAAAGGGGAAAGAAAUUCCAAAAGUGGCAACAUGACACCACUCAUUCUCUGCCUACUUUCGAGGGCCACCUAGAGGGACUCUCAGGCUUGAGCGGGAGAAGCAGAGUUUUGAGGCAGAGCUGAUCAAGGGAACCUCAACAAACAACCCCAGCCAUGGAGGCGGCGGUGUCUUUGAAGACCCCAUGAGAGCAUCAAACAAGGGAGAGAGCCUGGAACAAAUCAUGGUAGUAAAAUGGCGGCAGAGAGCUAGUAAUGUGUCUGCAAUUGGUGGGUUCUUGGUCGCACUGACUUCAAGAAUGAAGCCGCGGACCCUCACGGUGAGUGUUACAAUUCUUAAAAGUGGCGUGUCCGGAAUUUGUUCCUUCUGAUGUUCGGAGUUUCUUCCUUCUGGUGGGUUCGUGGUCUCGCUGGCUCAGGAGUGAAGCUGCAGACCUUCGCAGUGAGCGUUACAGCUCUUAAGGUGGUGUUUCUGGAGUUGUUCGUUCCUUCCGGUGGCUUCAUAGUCUCGCUGGCUCAGGAGUGAAGCUGCAGACCUUCGCAGUGAGCGUUACAGCUCUUAAGGUGGUGUUUCUGGAGUUGUUCGUUCCUUCCGGUGGCUUCAUAGUCUCGCUGGCUUCAGGAGUGAAGCUGCAGACCUUCCUGGUGAGUGUUACAGCUCUUAAGGCGGUGCGUCUGGAGUUGUUCGUUUCUCCCGGUGGGUUCGUGGUCUCGCUGGCUUUAAGAGUGAAGCUGCAGACCUUCACGGUGAAUGUUACAGCUCAUAAAGGCAGUGUGGACCUAAAGAGUGAGCAGCAGCAAGAUUUAUUGCAAAGAGAGGAAGAAUAAGGCUUCCACAGUGUGCAAGGGGACCCCAACAGGUUGCCACCGCUGGCUUGGGCAGCCUGCUUUUAUUGUCUUAUCUGGCCCCACUGACAUCCUGCUGAUUGGUCCAUUUUACAGAGAGCCGAGUGGUCUGUUUUGACAGGGUGCUGAUUGGUGCGUUUACAAUCCCUGAGCUAGACACAAAGGUUCUCCACCUCCCCACCAGAGUAGCUAGAUACAGAAUGUUGAUUGGUGCAUUCACGAACCCUGAGCUAGACAGAGGGUGCUGAUUGGUGUGUCUACAAACCUUGAGCUAGAUACAGAGUGCCGAUUGGUGUAUUUACAAUCCCUUAGCUAGACAUAAGGGUUCUCCAAGUCCCCACCAGAGUAGCUAGAUACAGUGUCGAUUGGUGCAUUCACAAACCGUGAGCUAGACAGAGGGUGCUGAUUGGUGUGUUUACAAACCUUGAGCUAGAUACAGAGUGCUGAUUGGUGUAUUUACAAUCCCUUAGCUAGACAUAAACGUUCUCCAAGUCCCCACCACACUCAGGAGCCCAGCUGGCUUCACCCAGUGGAUCAUGCACCCAGGCCACAGGUGGAGCUGCCUGCCAGUCCCACGCUGUGCGCCUGCACUCCUCAGCCCUUGGGUGGUCGAUGGGACUGGGCACCGUAGAGCAGUGGGCGGCGCUCGUCGGAGAGGCUCUGGCCGCGCAGGAGCCCAUGGAGGCCGGUGGGGGAGGCUCAGGCAUGGCGGGCUGCAGGUCCCCAGCCCUGCCCGGCGGGAAGGCAGCUAAGGCCCGGGGAGAAAUUGACCACAGCAGCUGCUGGCCCAGAUGCUAAGCCCCUCACUGCCCGGGGCCGCAGCCGCUCCGAGUGCCGGGCCCGCCAAGCCCACACCCACCCGGAACUGGCACUGGCCCUGGCCCACAAGCACAGUGCGCAGCCCCGGUUCCUGCCCCUGCCUCUCCCUCCUCACCUCCCCGCAAGCUUAGGGAGCCGGCUCCGGCCUUGGCCAGCCCAGAAAGGGGCUCCCACAGUGCAGCGGUGGGCUGAAGGGCUCCUCAAGUGCCGCCAAAGUGGGAGCCCAGGCAGAGGAGGUGCGGAGAGCGAGCCAGGGCUGUGAGGACUGCCAGCACGCUGUCACCUUUCAGUAGGUGGACGACAAGAAAAGAUGUCUCCCGCCCCUCUUUACCUGGCUUCCUGGCUGCAGAAGGCCCCACACAGGUGAAGGGAGAAGCUUCAACUUGAAAUCUGGUUUUAAGAAUUGAUUAUGGGCCAGGAGCUGUGGCUCACCCCUGUAAUCCCAGCACUUUGGGAGGCCGAAGUGGGCGGAUCAAGAGGUCAGGAGAUUGAGACCAUCCUGGCCAACUUGGUGAAACCCUGUCUCUACUAAAAAUACAAACAAUUAGCCGGGCGUGGUGGCAGGCGCCUGUAGUCCCAGCUACUCGGGAGGCUGAGGCAGGAGAAUUGCUUGAACCCGGGACGCGGAGGUUGCAGUGAGCCGAGAUAGCGCCACUGCACUCCAGCCUGGGCGACGGAGCGAGACUUCAUCUAAAAAAAAAAAAAUUGAUUAUGACACAAAACUAGAUAUUCUAACUUCUCAGUUGAGACUGUUGGAGACUUAGAGUGACUAUAGGACUUUUUAUUACUUAAGAGUGAUUAAAACGAGUUGUAAGAUUAUGGAGAUUUUCAUUCUGGAGCAAGAGAAGAACUUUUCCCCUAUUGAGUAAUCUGAAAAGGACAGCGGGAAUCAAAAACAAGGUUGCUUUCUCCUUUGAAUAUAUUGUUUUCUUCUUCAAAUCUAAAAAUCUGUUGAUUUCAUGUUUUCCCUUUUAUUUCUCUAACCCACUGAAAUGUGAUUGCUUCUGGUAUCCCUAAGUUUAUCAAGCAUACUACUAAACCAGCAUUUGGGACAUUAAGAACACUGGACACUCCAACUAACCAGGGGCUGAAUCCUACUGACUGCACUCGCUAUGUUUUGUCCAGGUGGCACGGUGCCUGGGAAGCAACUGCAGGGCUGUUCCUCCAGCAGUUUAUGAACUCAAGAAGUAAAAUGAGAGGAGAACCCAGGGGGCACCAGGCUGCUGCCUCUUGGUUUUGGUUCAAAAAAAAAGAAAA